UGCAUGGUUGUCGUCAGCUCGUGUCGUGAGAUGUUGGGUUAAGUCCCGCAACGAGCGCAACCCUUGAUCUUAGUUGCCAGCAUUCAGUUGGGCACUCUAAGGUGACUGCCGGUGACAAACCGGAGGAAGGUGGGGAUGACGUCAAAUCAUCAUGCCCCUUAUGACCUGGGCUACACACGUGCUACAAUGGACAGAACAAAGGGCAGCGAAACCGCGAGGUUAAGCCAAUCCCACAAAUCUGUUCUCAGUUCGGAUCGCAGUCUGCAACUCGACUGCGUGAAGCUGGAAUCGCUAGUAAUCGCG
rnacentral:rRNA from 2 species